rnacentral:lncRNA from 1 species
GAAGAGCAAUUAAUUAAUAGAAAAGGACGGAAGAAAAUAUAGAAAUAUGAAGAACUCAGCCGGAGGAGUGACAGGUGGUUGCAAUGCUCUGUGCGGGUGCCCAGUUCCUUGCCCUGGCGGCAACUCGUGCGGAUGCAGAACAAGCUCCAAGAUGGAAGGAGAGGAGCAGCAUAGCAAGUGUUCUUGCGGGGAGCACUGUGGAUGUAACCCAUGCCGCUGCCAACAAGGAACAGAAGGCUCCGCCGGAGGAACGAUGAGGGUUGGGAAAGCUCACUGCAAGUGUGGCACUGGCUGCACCUGUCAAGCCUGCGCUGCUUAAUUAUAAUUAGUUAAUAUUAUAUACAACGAGAGUAAGAGUAUGUGUAUGUUUGUGCCUUUGUAUCCUACGUACCUUUACACUCGGUACAAAAGAAGCACAUGAAUAAAAAAAGGCAGGCUUGUAUAUCUACCUUAAAUAAAAUUUCUUUGUUUUCUCUUGCGUUUCUUUCAUUCCAGAGAUCGUUUGUUUCUAUGUUUUGU